UAGCCCAGUGACAUAACAAUUGUAACGUU
rnacentral:piRNA from 1 species